GUCAGCGUGGUGUAGUGGUUUGACUGCUGAACUAUGACUCUGGAGACCAGGGUUGGAUUCCCUGCUUGGAUA